rnacentral:rRNA from 1 species
GUUGAACGCUAGCGGGAUGCUUUACACAUGCAAGUCGAACGAGAUGCGGACGGGUGAGUAAGAUAUCAGAACGUGCCCAGUCGCGGGGGAUCACUAGGAGAAAGAUUGGCUAAUGCCGCAUACUCUUGGAUCGGCCUGUAUCGGAUUAGCUAGUUGGUGGGGUAAAGGCUAACCAAGGCAAAGAUCCGUAGCUGGUUUGAGAGGACGACCAGCCACACUGGGACUGAGACACGGCCCAGACUCCUACGGGAGGCAGCAGUGGGGAAUGUUGGACAAUGGGGGAAACCCUGAUCCAGCCAUCCCGCGUGUAUGAGAAGGCCUUCGGGUUGUAAAGUACUUUUGGCAGAGAAGCGGUAUCUGCAGAAUAAGCAACGGCUAACUACGUGCCAGCCGCCGCGGUAAUAC